rnacentral:lncRNA from 1 species
AGUAGUUUGUCGCUCAGGAUAAAAUGCAGAAUGUCACACAGGAGACCGUCAUCCAAAUUCUGGUCAGCAGGACUUUGAAACUCUCCUAAAGACCAGGGGAUGGGGAAAGGCCACCAAUGACUUCCCCAGAUGACUAACUCACCCGAUUCUGCAUGGACUUGAAGGGAACUGAGAACCUACAUUUGAGCAAGAGGUAGGAAGGGAGGCUCUGGGUCUGAUGGGUGAGGUGUGUGGUAUAUGGCCAGCUGGUAGACUUCUUAUUUGGACUUGGGACUCUCACUAAGCCUGAAGUCAGUGGCCCCUAGGAACAGCCCAACACAGACAUGAACGAAUCCUCAGCUCCUCCAAGCAGUCAAUUUAGAUCUUUUAAAUACACCUUUAAAAACAAUCUUUUUCCAGGAGACGUCCAUACACAUGUGACCAUUGGAACGUUUUUCCUUUUCUGGCACUUUUCUACAGUUUUCCAGAAUUCCAGAGUUGAAGAGUUUUCAAUGCAUACAAAAUUAUAGAUCAACUUGGAUGAUCUGGUCAAGUCAGGCAAGGAAUGCUGUCUAAGGGUAUGACUUUGAGUUUUUCUCGCGUGGGUGUCUCAGAGUUAUGUUUUGUGGGGGCAAAAAGACCUUCUUAACUACAGGAAAUAAAAAAAUGUCCCACAUACACCCUUUCGGAUAUGAAACUAGGCAUUCUCAGGCAGAGCUAUGCCAGGUUAGAAUCCAUAUACUAGUCAAACCUGGGGUUCAUUUCCCACUAACGGUUCUUCCUAGGGUGUUGGGUUUGCUUACUGAUCACACAUUCGAGACAUGGAGUUUCAGCAUUCAGCUGUUCAUAUGGCCAGCCGGCCCCAGGUUCAGGGGUGCAUGAGAGACAUGUCACUCUCAGGUUUGGGGCGGGUACUUCCAGGAUAACAUCUUGUGUUAUUUGUAGUUGGUUUCCCCUCCUUGAGAAAUCUCAGUUAGGGGAAAUAAAAAGCCCAACCUGAUUUUGUGUAAUAGCAAAGUCCAACCAUGGGGUUUACAACCAUAAAACCUGGUGUCUCAGCCUCAAUACAUUCCUACAUGGGCCUACAUGGGCCCGGGGCUCACAUCUCACCAUCUCCCUACUGAGCUCCCAAUGAACUCUGGGUUGCUUGAACACCGUUCUUCAGCUCCAUCAGAGCCCGUACUGGAGCAGGUAUAGCCAACAAUUUAGAGUUGCUGGCCAUGGCUCUGAGGCCUGCACAGACUUCCAGUUGCAUCGUCUGCUUUGUUAGAUGCUGCCUCAGCCUGGAGGUGUGGGAGCUGUAAACUCCCACAUUGGCACAGCUGUAUCCCUCAGCCUAUCUAGACAGGACCCAUGCCUUCUGCCUCAGAGCCACUUUUUGUCAAGUUUUAUUCUACAUCAGAGGACAGCAGUGAGCUGGCUAUGAAUUACCAUGUGGAAGGAAACGACUGGGACUAAGGGAUCUGGUGGCAAAGGUUGAGUGUGUGCCAUCUGUUCUGAAGAUGAUCUCAAGAAGCCCAGGAGGGGAGGCUGUCAGGAGAGCACGAGUUAGCAGGUCUGUGGGUACUGUUGGCAAUUGGACCCUGCUUGAUCUUUCAGAGAGCCUUGGGGCUGGGAACAUGAUGCUGUAGGAUGGACAAGGAGUGAAGGUGUUUAACACCAGCCUCUACAUGCUUGAGUGCUAUGCGGUGCAAGCCCGACUGCCUGAGUUCCAUCCUGGAACCUCUUAAGGGUGGAGGGAGAGAACCGAGUUCAUAAAAUUGUCCUCUGAACUCCACAUGAGCACCUCAGCACACAUGCACAUGCACACAACAUGAGCAAAUAAUAAUAAUAAUAAUAAUAAUAAUAAUAAUAAUAAUAAUAAUUUAAGCCAGCUACCUAUAGUAGCCCGAGAUUAGAUGGCACUUAUUAAAAGUGUUCCUUUUGUGAUUGUGGAAGAAAAGCACAAAGUUGGCUUCUAAUAGCACCAACCCUGAAAGCCAGGUGGAUCUCGCCAAAUAUAGGUGUGACUAGUGAGUUAACUAUAUACAUUGUAUGAAGUUUAUAUUUGAUUCUGACAAGUGAAUAAGAGAUCUGGCAUAUUGCUUCUCAAAGUAAGAGGUUUCUAUUUAAUAAUUCUGUGUCCUGGCAGGGUGAAGACAGGAAAAGACAUCAGGAUUCUGCCACACAGCAAAAUCCAACUUGGCUGUGACAAAUCAGAUUCUGUUUGUGGAUGUGUGUGACUUGGCUCUGCAUGAUAUUCACCCACGUGGAAUUUUGAGCCUGCUUUCUUUCAGUUGGCAUCCUUAAAACCCACAGACAAAAUAAACCAAAAUAUGCAUGUC